CAUUAAGAAACCAAAGUUUAGGUGAAAUUUUUUUAAAAUUUUUAAUGGAACAAUUUCCCUUAAUGA
rnacentral:tRNA from 1 species